UGGGGAAUAUUGGACAAUGGGCGCAAGCCUGAUCCAGCCAUGCCGCGUGAGUGAUGAAGGCCCUAGGGUUGUAAAGCUCUUUCACCGGUGAAGAUAAUGACGGUAACCGGAGAAGAAGCCCCGGCUAACUUCGUGCCAGCAGCCGCGGUAAUACGAAGGGGGCUAGCGUUGUUCGGAUUUACUGGGCGUAAAGCGCACGUAGGCGGACUUUUAAGUCAGGGGUGAAAUCCCGGGGCUCAACCCCGGAACUGCCUUUGAUACUGGAAGUCUUGGGUAUGGUAGAGGUGAGUGGAAUUCCGAGUGUAGAGCUGAAAUUCGUAGAUAUUCGGAGGAACACCAGUGGCGAAGGCGGCUCACUGGACCAUUACUGACGCUGAGGUGCGAAAGCGUGGGGAGCAAACAGG
rnacentral:rRNA from 1 species